ACUCCUACGGGAGGCAGCAGUGGGGAAUAUUGCACAAUGGGCGCAAGCCUGAUGCAGCCAUGCCGCGUGUAUGAAGAAGGCCUUCGGGUUGUAAAGCACUUUCAGUGAGGGAGGAAGGUAGUGUAGUUAACACCUGCAUUAUUUGACGUUACCUACAGAAGAAGCACCGGCUAACUCCGUGCCAGCAGCCGCGGUAAUACGGAGGGUGCGAGCGUUAAUCGGAAUUACUGGGCGUAAAGCGCAUGCAGGCGGCCUGUUAAGUCCGAGAUGUGGAAAGCCCGGGGCUUAACCUCGGAAUUGCAUUUGAAACUGGCAGGCUAGAGUCUUGUAGAGGGGGGUAGAAUUUCAGGUGUAGCGGUGAAAUGCGUAGAGAUCUGAAGGAAUACCAGUGGCGAAGGCGGCCCCCUGGACAAAGACUGACGCUCAGAUGCGAAAGCGUGGGGAGCAAACAGGAUUAGAUACCCUGGUA
rnacentral:rRNA from 1 species